GCCGUAGCUCAAUGGCAAAGCAUUUGCACUGCAUGCACAAGGUCCCAGGUUCGGUCCCUGCCAUCUCCA